rnacentral:rRNA from 1 species
AUUGAACGCUGGCGGCAGGCCUAACACAUGCAAGUCGAGCGGAUGAAGGGAGCUUGCUCCUGGAUUUAGCGGCGGACGGGUGAGUAAUGCCUAGGAAUCUGCCUGGUAGUGAGGGAUAACGUCCGGAAACGGGCGCUAAUACCGCAUACGUCCUGAGGGAGAAAGUGGGGGAUCUUCGGACCUCACGCUAUCAGAUGAGCCUAGGUCGGAUUAGCUAGUUGGUGGGGUAAAGGCCUACCAAGGCGACGAUCCGUAACUGGUCUGAGAGGAUGAUCAGUCACACUGGAACUGAGACACGGUCCAGACUCCUACGGGAGGCAGCAGUGGGGAAUAUUGGACAAUGGGCGAAAGCCUGAUCCAGCCAUGCCGCGUGUGUGAAGAAGGUCUUCGGAUUGUAAAGCACCUUAAGUUGGGAGGAAGGGCAGUAAGUUAAUACCUUGCUGUUUUGACGUUACCAACAGAAUAAGCACCGGCUAACUUCGUG